rnacentral:rRNA from 1 species
UGGGGAAUAUUGGACAAUGGAGGUAACUCUGAUCCAGCAAUUCUGUGUGCAUGAAGAAGGUUUUCGGAUUGUAAAGUGCUUUCAGCAGGGAAGAAGAAAGUGACGGUACCUGCAGAAGAAGCGACGGCUAAAUACGUGCCAGCAGCCGCGGUAAUACGUAUGUCGCGAGCGUUAUCCGGAAUUAUUGGGCAUAAAGGGCAUCUAGGCGGCACGACAAGUCAGGGGUGAAAACUUGCGGCUCAACUGCAAGCUUGCCUUUGAAACUGUAGUGCUAGAGUAUUGGAAAGGUGGGCGGAACUACACGAGUAGAGGUGAAAUUCGUAGAUAUGUGUAGGAAUGCCGAUGAUGAAGAUAGCUCACUGGACGAUAACUGACGCUGAAGUGC